rnacentral:rRNA from 1 species
GACGAACGCUGGCGGCGUGCUUAACACAUGCAAGUCGAACGGAAAGGCCCUGCUUUUGUGGGGUGCUCGAGUGGCGAACGGGUGAGUAACACGUGAGUAAUCUGCCCUUGACUUUGGGAUAACUUCAGGAAACUGGGGCUAAUACCGGAUAGGAGCUCCUGCUGCAUGGUGGGGGUUGGAAAGUUUCGGCGGUUGGGGAUGGACUCGCGGCUUAUCAGCUUGUUGGUGGGGUAGUGGCUUACCAAGGCUUUGACGGGUAGCCGGCCUGAGAGGGUGACCGGCCACAUUGGGACUGAGAUACGGCCCAGACUCCUACGGGAGGCAGCAGUGGGGAAUAUUGCACAAUGGGCGGAAGCCUGAUGCAGCAACGCCGCGUGCGGGAUGACGGCCUUCGGGUUGUAAACCGCUUUCGCCAGUGACGAAGCGUGAGUGACGGUAAUGGGUAAAGAAGCACCGGCUAACUACGUG